rnacentral:rRNA from 1 species
CCUACGGGAGGCAGCAGUGGGGGAUAUUGCACAAUGGGGGAAACCCUGAUGCAGCGACGCCGCGUGGGCGAAGAAGUAUUUCGGUAUGUAAAGCCCUAUCAGCAGGGAAGAAGAAAUGACGGUACCUGAGUAAGAAGCACCGGCUAAAUACGUCCGCGCAGCCGGGGUAAUACGUAUGGUGCAAGCGUUAUCCGGAUUUUCGGGGUGUAAAGGGAGCGUAGACGGGAAUGCAAGACAGAUGUGAAAGCCCGGGGCUAAACCCCGGAACUGCAUGUGGAACUGGGUGGCUGGAGUGUCGGAGAGGCAGGCGGAAUUCCUGGUGUAGCGGUGAAAUGCGUAGAUAUUAAGAGGAACACUAGUGGCGAAGGCGGCCUGCUGGACGAUGACUGACGUUGAGGCUCGAAAGCGUGGGGAGCAAACAGGAUUAGAUACCCUGGUAGUC